rnacentral:lncRNA from 1 species
CCAAAAUCCUAAGGGUUUGUACUGUGAUUCACCUAUGGUUGCUUGCCAAAAUUCUAAACAGUGUUUACUUAUCUUUUGGGAGAAAGGGCCUUGCUCUGUUGCCUAAGCUGGCGUGCAGAGGCAUGAUCAUAGCUCACUCUAACUUGAAUUCCUGGGCUCAAGGGAUCCCGCCUCAGCCUUGCAAGCAGUUAGGACAGACUACAACUACAGGUAUGCACUACCACACCUGGCUAAUUACAUUUUUUUUUUUUUUGUGGAGGUGGAGCUGGUCUCAAACUCCUGGGCUAAAGUGAUCCUCCCCCCUUGGCCUCCUAAAGUGCUGGGAUUACAGAUGUGAGCCACUGUGCGUGGCCUCUCAAUAACAUUUAAGUCGGCCAUUGACACUUUAAGUACCAUCAGAUCUGCUGGAUCAUAUGGCCCAAAUGGCAGAGCAACUUGCCCAAUAGCCUGGACCUGUUGUAGAGCCUUCUCUUCUCCUACUAGGUUCUGCUGGCUCCUGGCAUUCUGCGGCGUUUCUUGGCUUCCAGUUGCAUCACUCCAAUCCCUGCUUCUAUCUCCAAAUGGCCUUCUUCCCUCUGUGCUCAUUUAUCUAUGUGUCCUCUUCUAAGGGCGCCAACCAUUCGAUUUAGGGCUCAUUCUAUACCAGCAUGACCUCAUCUUAACCAAUUACAUCUGCAAAAACCCUAUUUCCAAGUCAGUUAAUAUUGUGAGGGUCUAGGUGGACGUGAAUUUUGGGGGACCCUAUUCAACCCUCUACAAUCCCACACCUUAAUAGUCUUUGUAUAUUCUUUUGUACACUCUGAAUUUUU